CUCCUCCCCAGUAGGCUCUGAAGUCGUACAUGUGUGUCAAUGGGAUGGUACUUGUGCUUUGUGUAGGGACGGAGGGAUGGGUUGGUUAGGUAAGGUUAGGUUAGGUAAGGUUAGGUUAGGUUAGGUUAGGUUAGGUUAGGUUAGGUUAGACUAGGUAAGGUUAGGUUAGGUUAGGUUAGGUUAGGUUAGACUAGGUAAGGUAAGGUUAGGUUAGGUUAGGUUAGGUUAGGUUAGGUUAGACUAGGUAAAGUAAGAGGAGGAGAAGUAGGAAAGGUAGAACAAGAGCAGGAGGAACAGGAGGAGGAGGAGGAGGAGGAGGAAAGGGAAAACAUUAGGGUCCUUCAGUGAAAGUGAUUUGAUAAUAUUCUCUAAAGGGAGGAGGAGGAGGAGGAGGAGGAGGAGGAGGAGGAGGAGGAGGAGGAGGAGGGGGCGGAUGUUAGGUAUACCGUCCCUAGUUAAACACACACACACACACACACACACACACACACACACACACACACACACACACACACACACACACACACACACACACACACACACACACACGCA